rnacentral:rRNA from 1 species
ACACGACUACAUUAGAUACCCCUGUAGUCCUAGCCGUAAACGAUACUCGCUAGGUGUCGGCCACGGUGCGACCGUUGUCGGUGCCGUAGGGAAGCCGUGAAGCGAGCCACCUGGGAAGUACGGCCGCAAGGCUGAAACUUAGAGGAAUUGGCGGGGGAGCACAACAACGGGUGGAGCUUGCGGUUUAAUUGGAUUCAACGCCGGAAAUCUUACCGGGACCGACAGCAACAUGAAGGCCAAGCUGAAGACUUUGCCGGAUUAGCUG